rnacentral:tRNA from 1 species
GCCUUCGUGGUGUAAUGUUCAACACACUCGGCGCUUAUUCAAGAGGUACGCGGUUCGAGUCCCGGCGAGGGCA